rnacentral:lncRNA from 1 species
CAACCAGGUAACUGCUUUGGAGGCAAAUUAAAAGGAUUAAUGUUUAGAUAAUAAGUGAGUUCUUGGUAAGAACUAGCACUCUCCUUGUGUUAUGUGGUUUCAGAAUUGCAGCCGACUCUUCUCCCAGCUGACUGCAACCUCAGAGGGGAAUGGCAGAAAUGCACCUUCAGUGAGGCAGGUCGAGUGCUCAUCUUCACUGCCACUUGAGGGUGCUGUCUGCCUCAGGACGGACAGACUCACAACUUGCCAUGCAAGACAAAAUGUAGAAAUCUGAGUUAGCCACACCUUCUUGCCUGUGUAUAGGAAGUCAGUGUUCUACAUAAACACACUAGUAAACAGCAGGGAGCCAGUGCGGGAACAGUCAUGGUGAUUCUCUAAAUUUCAAGUUAAGCACUUCGACCUAGUUUUUCGAAGUAAGACUAGGUUUUAGCUAGAGAACUCAUUUCCCAUUCUAUAAGGAAAAGCCACAGCUAAAGUCACACCAAACUGCAAUAAUCUUAGUUCUCUGAAACAUCUUCCAUUUUCUUGCCCACUCUUUCCCUUCUAUUCAACCUUCACA